rnacentral:rRNA from 1 species
GACGAACGCUGGCGGCGUGCUUAACACAUGCAAGUCGAACGGAAAGGCCCUGCUUUUGUGGGGUGCUCGAGUGGCGAACGGGUGAGUAACACGUGAGUAACCUGCCCUUGACUUUGGGAUAACUUCAGGAAACUGGGGUUAAUCCAGGACAGGAGCUCACGCUGCAGGGUGGGGGUUGGAAAGUUUCGGCGGUUGGGGUUGGACUGGCGGCUUAUGGGCUUGCUGGUGGGGGAGUGGUUUACCAAGGCUGUGACGGGUCGCCCGCCUGGGAGGGUGACCGGGCUCCUUGGGACUGAGGGACGGCCCAGACUGCUACAUGAGGCAGCGGUGGGGAGUAUUGCACAGUGGGCGGGAGCCUGAUGCGACAACGCCGCGUUCGUGAUGACGGCCUUCGGGUUGUAAACCGCUUUCGCCUGUGACGAAGCGUGAGUGACGGUAAUGGGUGAAGAAGCACCGGCUAACUACGUG